CCUACGGGGGGCUACAGUGGGGAAUAUUGGACAAUGGGGGGAACCCUGAUCCAGCCAUGCCGCGUGUAUGAAGAAGGCCCUCGGGUUGUAAAGCACUUUCAGUGAGGAAGAACGCCUGGUGGUUAAUACCCAUCAGGAAAGACAUCACUCACAGAAGAAGCACCGGCUAACUCCGUGCCAACAGCCGCGGUAAUACGGAGGGUGCGAGCGUUAAUCGGAAUUACUGGGCGUAAAGCGCGCGUAGGUGGCUUGAUAAGCCGGUUGUGAAAGCCCCGGGCUCAACCUGGGAACGGCAUCCGGAACUGUCAAGCUAGAGUGCAGGAGAGGAAGGUAGAAUUCCCGGUGUAGCGGUGAAAUGCGUAGAGAUCGGGAGGAAUACCAGUGGCGAAGGCGGCCUUCUGGACUGACACUGACACUGAGGUGCGAAAGCGUGGGUAGCAAACAGGAUUAGAUACCCCAGUAGUC
rnacentral:rRNA from 1 species